GCACACUUCUAAGAUCAACUAACUUGCUUGAUUAGCCAAUUAGUUGACUGUGGUCCGCACAACAAUCACUUUUUGAUUUUCUUAUUACAGUUUGUACGCACCAGACACGCAGAGACUCAGAAAUUUUUACGUGUAAACUCAUAGAGCUAUCGAAGUCAACUAACGUCAUGCAUCGGCGGCCGAAGGCAUCGGAGAGCAGCGUGCGGCAGCACAAAGCUACCACACAUAUGCGCUCAUCUUACACAACACUCACACACAUGGCACGCAGCGCACAGGAAAUACAUAAUAGUGGUAACACGAAGAACGAGCGGCACAACGCCGACAACUGCGAAGCCAAGCAGCGCCGGCUCAGCCACGGGCUACGGCAACGAUGAAGGCGACGGCAGUCAGCAAACCACCAGCGAAGCAAGCAGUGGCUGGUGCUCCGGCCAGCAACCAAACAAGCGAACGUAGCGCACGGAACACAGGCGCAACGAGCGAGUGAGCGCACGAAGCUCAAACAGAGACACAACGUAGAAGUGGUAGUGUUAUCAGUGGUGGCAGCAUAAGCAGUGGUUUAUAGGUGUAGAUAGCUACAACAAAAGCAGGCGUACUCACCUAUGCCACGGUUUUGUUGUGCGAAUGAGAGCGCGAUAAAAUGGCCGCCGAAAACAGCAGCAGCGAGAAGAGCACGAUUAUAUCUUUGCUCUCGCCUAAGGGCACUGGAUGGCACAGUAAUAAAUACUACAGAAUGGCAGGCAGGGAAAUGGCAACACCAACAACAACAAGUGGCAUGUGUGCGACUCAUGCAGAGAGCGUGCGACUAUAUUACUGUUAUUCCAAGAGUCCAUGAAACUACAAGGAGCGAAUGAAAGAAAGCGAUAUACGAUUUUUCAUUUAAGCCGCAUUGUUAUUGGAAAGUAAUACGCUACAUUAGCAAAAACUACUCCUACUAUUUACUUCUCGCACUUCUUUUGUGCUUGAUGCCCGUUCGCAAGACACUUGAGAGUUUUCGCCACUUCAUAGCCCAACGAAGAGAAACCGCAGCAGCAGCCGCAAAUGCCAACGACAAUGGAAGAGUAUUUGCGCUUCACGCUCAUUCACCAUUUUCACCGCCUCGUUAGACUGCGAUGGCAGACAUUGGAGCGGCAGCACCAACCAAGCAAAAUAUUCGCUUGAAAGGCUUAGCUACUUAAAAUUCCAACGGAACGCCUACCACAUACUAUUACUGACACUGUUUGCCAUUGUCUAGUGCGCGCUUUUCUCUGUUUCACGGUCUUUUGGUAAGCAAGUGAGAGCGCGCAGCAACAGCGCUUCGCUUCUACCAGCCUUUAGACAAGAUGCCGGCUUGCCGGGAAUCUCCUAUUACUACUUUUUUAAGCACAGUUGUGCCUUUUGUAGCAGCAUGCAACCGCUAAAAGCGAAUCCAUACUGCUGCUGUUGCUGCACUAUUUUAUUCCAGAAAUUCCAUAGCCGGGAACAAAUGCAAACGACAUUUCCGGCCAGCAAGUAUGCGAGCCAUCGCAUCCAGGUGGACGAGACGCUGGAACAAUCAGUCCUUUUGUAUACUCCGAACAUUCGGUGUCUGCCCAAGAUACGCGUUGCCCUUAACCGCAACAGUUGUACAGAUAUGUAGCUGCAGCGCGGUUUUACUUGCGCGGCUUAUGAACUUUGUACGUCCUUCAGUGGCGCUAUCAGCAGCACUCUAUGCUGGAAAGUGCAACAGAAUGGACAACGCUUUUAAAUGCAAAAGUGGCGCAGAGAAAAAUUUACGGUGAUUUAGGAAGCAGUGAUUUGCUUGCAACAAAAAGUGUGUGUGGCUUCUUAAUCAUUCGCUUGCGCUCCAGGCUUCAGGUUUCUUACCGGGAGUAGGAGCGGGUUGCGGCAGGCGCAGCGUCAACCAUUCGCCUAUGCUAUCGCGGUGGUUAGCUGGUAUGUGGGUGAGUGGGUGGCGGCAAGUGCAACUCACUGGCAACCAGCGCUCUUCGACAUGCUGUAUGUAUGAAGCUUACCCACAUACUUUUUUUUGUCGACGCUUUGUGCGUAACUAGCACAAAGCCUUUUACUUCUGUAUGGCGUUUGUUGCUGGUGACAAUCAUAGCGGUAAAUAUAUCGGCACUAAUUUCAGGGAUUUAACAUGCUGUUGGCGGUGUUGUUCGUACCAAAUAUGUGGCCACCAAAGGCUAUCAAAGGAUUUCAGCAGCAGCCAAGGAGGGCGCUAAACAUAUGUAAAUUUGGCAGCACAGCACUUGGCAAUGACCUACAAAAAUUAUUUAUUCAAAGAUUUAUUUUUUGGUUGCCAUGUGUGUGGGUAUGCUUACAAUUAUGUUUGUUUGUAUGUUUCGUCGAUUAUGUUAAUUUACAGAGAAACAGACAGACAGAUAACCAGCCAGAAAUCCUGUUUUCCAUCGCCACACUGCGCUGAGAGCGCGCAAACGAAUACAUACAUAUAUACGAACUCGUAAAAGGCAAGGAAGGACUUGUUGCAUAAUUAUGCGCGUCACUUCGAAAGCCACGAAACGCUGGUGCUACUAAAAAAUUUAUGAAUGAAAAAUGCAGAGAAGGCCGCAGUGUAGUUUUACGCUACUAAACUCCUGCCGCUUUGGCUCAAUCAUAUGGACAGCGACCAAUAGUGUUGGCAUAUCGGCAGCGACGGUGCGCCGCAGCGGCAACAUCAACGCUGCAUGGUGGUACGAGUGGCACCGGAGACGCGGCUGCUGCAGCAUGGUGAUGAUAAUGAGCAAGAUUAGCAUUUCGCAGCUUUUUCGUGAACCGUUUUAACCGCACCAAAGUAAGCAGGGGCACGCCAAGCCAAGCCAAACCAAACCAAAACCUCAGCUUCUACCGUAAUUAUUAUUAGCAUAAUUUUUUGUGUUCAUCUCCGGGUGCACAUUUCACUUAUUGUUUAUUUUGUAGUAGGUAUUUUUUGUAUAUAGGUAGUACGAGUAAUUAUGUGUGGUGCAGCGGCGUCGGUCAUUUCACAGCUUUUCAUUGAGCACGUCGAUAAAAGACGAAAAGAGUCCAUCCACUGCAGCGUUCGCUGGCUAUCAGUGUUGCCAGAACUUUUUGGGCCGACCGGCUAAUUUGGUCAAAAAAUAGGCUAAAAUGUUUCAACUAAA
rnacentral:misc_RNA from 1 species